rnacentral:rRNA from 1 species
AAUCGGACGUCGAAGAGGGUGAGAAUCCCGUAUUUGGCCGACCGUCAAGCCCACCGAGAAGCCCUUUCGACGAGUCGAGUUGUUUGGGAAUGCAGCUCCAAGCGGGUGGUAACUUUCAUCUAAAGCUAAAUACCUGCCAGAGACCGAUAGCGCACAAGUAGAGUGAUCGAAAGAUGAAAAGCACUUUGAAAAGAGAGUCAAACAGCACGUGAAAUUGUUGAAGGGGAAGCGCUUGCAACCAGACUCGCACGCGGGGGCUCACCCGUUCCUCGGGACGGUGCACUCCCCCGCGAUCGGGCCAGCAUCGGUUUCNNUAGGAUGCUGGCGUAAUGGUUGCCAGCGACCCGUCUUGAAACACGGACCAAGGAGUCGACCGGCGACGCGAGUGUUUGGGCGUCAAACCCAGGCGCGCAAUGAAAGUGAACGGAGGUGGGAGCCCCCGGGCGCACCAUCGACCGAUCCUGAUGUCUUCGGAUGGAUUUGAGUACGAGCGCCGCCGGUCGGACCCGAAAGAUGGUGAGCUAUACGUGGAUAGGGUGAAGCCAGAGGAAACUCUGGUGGAGGCUCGCAGCGGUUCUGACGUGCAAAUCGAUCGUCAAAUCUGCGUAUAGGGGCGAAAGACUAAUCGAACCAUCUAGUAGCUGGUUCCUGUCGAAGUUUCCCUCAGGAUAGCAGCAACGAAAACAGUCUCAUGAGGUAGAGCGAACGAUUAGAGGCCUUGGGGCAGAAACUGCCUUAACAUAUUCUCGAACUUCGAAUAUGUGAGAAGUCC